GAUGAAGAACGUAGCAAAAUGCGAUAAGUAAUGUGAAUUGCAGAAUUCAGUGAAUCAUCGAAUCUUUGAACGCACAUUGCGCCCGCCAGUAUUCUGGCGGGCAUGCCUGUUCGAGCGUCAUUUCAACCCUCAAGCACAGCUUGGUGUUGGGACUCGCGUUAAUUCGCGUUCCCCAAAUUGAUUGGCGGUCACGUCGAGCUUCCAUAGCGUAGUAGUAAAACCCUCGUUACUGGUAAUCGUCGCGGCCACGCCGUUAAACCCCAACUUCUGAAUGUUGACCUCGGAUCAGGUAGGAAUACCCGCUGAACUUAAGCAUAUCAAUAAGCGAGG
rnacentral:misc_RNA from 1 species